AGCCCCGGCCGGGAAUCGAACCUGGAUCUUUUGGUUACGCACCAAGAGCUCUUCCAGUUAAGCUAUCUAAGAC
rnacentral:tRNA from 1 species